GGGCGCGCCAACGCGCAGGCGAGAGGAGCCACCCCACGUCCGAGGUCAGGGGCAGAAGCCGAGAGGACCCCAUGCUCGAAGGGCGGCGGCCGAGAGGAGUUACCCCACGUCUGAGGUCAGGGGCAGCGGCCGAGAGUACCAACUGCAACGGAGCAGGAACAGUGGAGAGGAGCUACCCCGCGUCGGAGGCCAGGGACGGCGGCCAGGAGGAGCAACCCCACGACCGAGGCCAGGGGCGGUGGCCAGGAGGACCAACCCCACGCCCAAGGAGCCGUGGAUGUGCGGGCGCAGGAGGGCCUAGAGGAGCUAUCCCACGUUGAAGGUCAGGAAGGGCUGCAGUGAGGAGAUACCCCUCGCCCAAGCCUCCUAGCAGCCCUGAGAUGCAGGGAUGAGACCAAGAUCCCUUCAUUCAGAUGAACAUUCACUGAGCCUAGACUCUGUGUCAGACAGAGGCCUCAAGGAGUUCAGAGUCUAGAGGGAGAGACCAACAGGUAAAUAAAUCAUUACCAUAAGGAUCUGAUAAAAAAAAAAAAGAAGAAAUUAUGACAGAGGGAAACAGAAGAGAGAUAUGGGCAGGGUUGGCAUGUUGCCCAACUCUGAGAUCUAUAUGACUGUUCCCCCCUGGAGUUGUGCAACAAGAAUGCCCUGGUCACGUGUGAGCCCAGAGAACACAUCUGAUCCAGUGUGGAAAGUCCACCAGGUACUAGCUGAAGCAGGAAGGGCAAGUUUACCAGGCAGAUGAGGAGUGAAGGAUGAUCCAGACAGAGCGAUCAGCAUGUAUAAAGUGAUGGAGGGGUGAAACAAGAUGUGAAAUGCUGGGAGGCAUCAGAAGAUCCAUUUUGGCUGAAGCACUGAGUAACUACGGGAAAAUGUGCAGCUUCUUGUUAAAUGAGUUAAUGAAUGCAAGAAGGACUAUGACAACAACAAUCAUGAUCAUCAACAUUUGGUAACCACUCAUCUAUGCCAAGUACUAUACUAAGUGAUUUCAGUGAAUCUCCUCAUUUUAAGAUCCCACAUUCCCAUGACAUCGGUUCUCCAAUAUCCUCUCCUCAGAGAAGUUAGUCAACUUGCUCAAGAUCACAGAGCUAGUGCCAGAGCCAGGAUGGAAGCUCAGAUGUCCUAGAUUCUACAUCCCUGAGCCCUUGACCACUACUUCUUUCAGCAGCAGAGCCCUUAACUUUGGGCAGGGGGACCCCAGCACAGAGUCAGGUGGGCACCAGCAGUCACAUCAGCCCCCCUUUGAGCUUCACCAGAAGUGGUCUUUUCUUUGGCCAUCAGCAAGGACAAGAAUCAAUGGUUCCACCGAGAUCCUGAGCAGAAGAGGGAAACGAAGAGGACACCUCAUGAAUGAAUUCUCUGGGCAUGUAUGAAAAGACCCUGGGAUUCCCAGAGCCUCCAGAAAGAGUGGGGGUUGCGGUGCUGCAGAACCAGUAAAAAACAAAACCCCACAAUUUGAUGACCUUGUGUUUAUCCUAGGCAUCGUGUGGCCUGGUUACAUCGUGGAAAAAAUAUCAAAUUCUUUCCAGCUGUCUCAGGUCUGCACGUUCACGUCACCUGUUUUUCAACCCCAUCGGGACCUCCCAUCCCUCAACACAGCUCCCAUCUUCUCUCAACCUUGCAGCCCUUCCUAGGUUUACAUUGUCUUUCCUCCCAUAGGGCUGGCAUUUCUUUUGCAGACACCUUCCCCUGUCUUCAUCCUGGGUCAAACCAACUGAUUUCUUUCUCUGCUACUACAUCUGGCAACUGUGAGCUGCUGAGGAAACCCUAGAAUCACAUGAGGUCUUGGAGCUCACCUGCUCUGCAGUCCUUUGCUUGAUCCUUGCCAGCUCACAGGCUUUUUUCCUCAGCCUCAUUCUAGGGUGUUCCCCC
ensembl:lncRNA